rnacentral:rRNA from 1 species
UACGUAGGGGGCAAGCGUUGUCCGGAUUUAUUGGGCGUAAAGAGCGUGUAGGCGGCCAGGUAGGUCCGUUGUGAAAACUCGAGGCUCAACCUCGAGACGCCGAUGGAAACCAUCUGGCUAGAGUCCGGAAGAGGAGAGUGGAAUUCCCGGUGUAGCGGUGAAAUGCGCAGAUAUCGGGAAGAACACCCGUGGCUAAGGCGGCUCUCUAGUACGGUACUGGCGCUGAGACGCGAAAGCGUGGGGAGCGAACAGG